GCGCCUCUGCGCCUCCACUCUCCUCACACCAUUCAACCACGGAGCGAAGAGGCAUCACUGAAGGACUGGAGACCGGCGAAAUCGGACGUCAACCGCCACGCAACCGCACAGAGGCUUAUUUAUCACGCAUCAAACUUUACUCGAAGUGUACGGUCGCUGCGUCGACGAAAUGACGUCCCGCGUCUCGAAACCCCGGACUUUUUCCCGCUCCUCAUGCGCGGCGAGACGCCGCGCAGCGAGAUAACGCCCCAAAGUUAUCGCAAUGAAUAUUUUGCAAACCCUGGUUUGAGGCUGACUACAAACACGACAUCACCUCCCGCCGUCAUCCACCAACGCCACCCCCUCCACCGCCACCCAACAAUCGCACCCAUUCCCUGGAGAGGAACCCCAUGCAGAAUGCACGCACAAGAAAUGAAUCGAAGGUCCAGACAUGAAAGAGUCGAGAGACACAGGCACACACACACGCAAACACGGGGUGCUGCGUCUGUCUGCGGUCUUCAACCAGCCUGCCAAAAGAUACACACACACACGCACACACAUUAAGGUGCAGCGUGGUGAACACCAGGUGCAAGAGGAAGGGACAUUCUUCUGCUUGCUCCAACACAUCUGAUGCUACCUGAUGUUUUAUGGUAUAGGUGGUAACCUGUUCUGUAUAUGUUUGAAUAAUGCUGUAGAAAUACAGGAAUAAAAAAAGAUAGUGCUGUAUCAGGGAGAGAGAGAGAGAGAGGGAGGGAGAGGGGGGGGAAAGAUAAAGCGAGGGAGAGAGAGAGAGAUAAAGCGAGGGAGAGAGAGAGAGAGAGAGCGAGAGACCCCUCAAACGGUGCGUGAGACCGGAGUGAGUCGCCUUGCCGAUGCGUCUCCGAGCAGACAUCUGUCAGAGCGGCUCGCCGUCAAGUCUGUGCUCGCCCCAGUAAACAUUCAACGCUGUCGGUGAGUUUGGGAUUAAAUUGGCACAAAACCAUCGACCGUUGAUUGUACCCUGUGGCCAGCCCUUGUCCCUCCAUGCUGUAAAAGGAGAAUGUGUGCUAGAAAUGCCUAUUCACUGGCCGCCCCCCCCUACUCCUGCACAACCAGCCUCGUGGAGCAGGAAAACCAACAUGGCUGCUGACCGGCUUUGCACAGUCGGAAACACACACCGCAUCCUCACUUUCGACCCGUGCUCCGCUAAGAUGUUAACGAACUAUAUAAAGAAAGGCUAGGUCCAGCCCCCAAACCACAACAAAGGUCACAAUCAACAUUCAUUGCUGUCGGUGGGUUUGGCUAUGAAGAAAAGCUCACUGAACGAUGAAUGCAACUGUGUCCUCGACCUCCUCGGACCGCCCGUCACUGUGAAUAGUGUCACCGUAUGCUGAUGAUGGUAUUUAUUUGCAUAUUAAAAAAAAGGAACGCAUCUUGAUCCUACUAGCUGGGAUAUUGGCAGGGGUAUAUAUUUUUAUUUUUUUUGCGUGUGUUUUAUGAUAGUGCAGACUUUUUUAUUCUGUUAUAUAUGUAGGUAUAAUAAAGUGUGUAAAGAAAUACUUUUUCUAUGACAAUCAGAAUACUAUAUUAAAUUAGUGAUCAUUGAAAAAGCUAAACAUAGCUUUUUCAAAAAGAUAUGAUUUGAAAUGGACCAUCAAGCUGGUAAGUAUAUUGGUUCAAUCAUUCUUUGAUUACUUCCAAUUCUUAGCAAUGUUUCUUUUCACUCAUCACACUAUCACCCCUGCAUUUCAACCCAUUCUGCAAUUUCAAAAAUAAAAAUAAUCUGACAAUUGAU